GUUGGUUACCAUAUGAAGCAUCGCUUAUUGCGACUA
rnacentral:tRNA from 1 species